CGUAGGCAGCGAGCGUUGUUCGGAGUUACUGGGCGUAAAGCGUGCGUAGGCGGUUUUGUAAGUUUGGUGUGAAAUCUCCCGGCUCAACUGGGAGGGUGCGCCGAAGACUGCAAGGCUGGAGUGUGGGAGAGGUAGGCGGAAUUCCUGGUGUAGCGGUGAAAUGCGUAGAUAUCAGGAGGAACACCUGUGGUGUAGACGGCUUACUGGACCAUGACUGACGCUGAGGCACGAAAGCGUGGGGAGCAAACAGGAUUAGAUACCCUGGUAGUCCACGCCCUAAACGAUGCAUACUUGGUGUGGGCAGUUCAUUCUGUCUGUGCCGGAGCUAACGCGUUAAGUAUGCCGCCUGGGGAGUACGGUCGCAAGGCUG
rnacentral:rRNA from 1 species